GUGCUUGCUUCAUCAGCACCUCUACUAAAAUCGGAACGAUACAGAGAAGAGUAGCGUGGCCCCUGCGCAAGGAUGACACACAAAUUCGUGAAGCAUUUCAUAUUUUU